CAGGCAGCGGCAGCGCCGCGGUGUCUGUGCCACCUGAGAGGGAACGGGGGAGACCCCGGGCUUGCACCACUUGGAGGUGUCGCUGAACUGCAAGGUUUGUGAGAUGAAGGGAGGACCCCGGAGAUGCUGAACUUGGAGAUGUUGCUACCCUAAGGGCUGAUUUGGGGAAUGGCGGGGAGACCCCAGGAGUGCAGAACUUGGAGAUUUUGCUCAUCUAAGGGCUGAUCUGUGAAGGUGAAGGUGGGAAGAUCCCCGGCGUGCACAACUUGGAGAUGCGGCCAUCAGUAACGAGUCAGCCAAAUCAUCCCUAGGUUCCACAACCCAGGGGUCUCUCUGGACUCCAUAUGAAGGAGGAAACUGCUUUUAUGCAAACAAAGCCAAAGCAGACAAGAUUAGAAGGGAAACAAUAAACUGGAAAAACGGUUUUACAUUCAAGGG
rnacentral:lncRNA from 1 species